rnacentral:rRNA from 1 species
CCUACGGGCGGCACCAGUGGGGAAUAUUGGACAAUGGGCGAAAGCCUGAUCCAGCCAUGCCGCGUGUGUGAAGAAGGCCUUUUGGUUGUAAAGCACUUUAAGCGAGGAGGAGGCUACUUAGAUUAAUACUCUAGGAUAGUGGACGUUACUCGCAGAAUAAGCACCGGCUAACUCUGUGCCAGCAGCCGCGGUAAUACAGAGGGUGCGAGCGUUAAUCGGAUUUACUGGGCGUAAAGCGUGCGUAGGCGGCUUCUUAAGUCGGAUGUGAAAUCCCUGAGCUUAACUUAGGAAUUGCAUUCGAUACUGGGAAGCUAGAGUAUGGGAGAGGAUGGUAGAAUUCCAGGUGUAGCGGUGAAAUGCGUAGAGAUCUGGAGGAAUACCGAUGGCGAAGGCAGCCAUCUGGCCUAAUACUGACGCUGAGGUACGAAAGCAUGGGGAGCAAACAGGAUUAGAUACCCUUGUAGUC